rnacentral:rRNA from 1 species
GAUGAACGCUGGCGGCGUGCCUAAUACAUGCAAGUCGAGCGAACAGACGAGGAGCUUGCUCCUCUGACGUUGGCGGCGGACGGGUGAGUAACACGUGGAUAACCUACCUAUAAGACUGGGAUAACUUCGGGAAACCGGAGCUAAUACCGGAUAAUAUAUUGAACCGCAUGGUUCAAUAGUGAAAGACGGUUUUGCUGUCACUUAUAGAUGGAUCCGCGCCGCAUUAGCUAGUUGGUAAGGUAACGGCUUACCAAGGCAACGAUGCGUAGCCGACCUGAGAGGGUGAUCGGCCACACUGGAACUGAGACACGGUCCAGACUCCUACGGGAGGCAGCAGUAGGGAAUCUUCCGCAAUGGGCGAAAGCCUGCCGGAGCAACGCCGCGUGAGUGAUGAAGGUCUUCGGAUCGUAAAACUCUGUUAUUAGGGAAGAACAAAUGUGUAAGUAACUAUGCACGUCUUGACGGUACCUAAUCAGAAAGCCACGGCUAACUACGUG